AUAUCAAUAAGCGGAGGAAAAGAAACUAACAAGGAUUCCCCUAGUAGCGGCGAGCGAAGCGGGAAAAGCUCAAAUUUGUAAUCUGGCGCUUUCGGCGUCCGAGUUGUAAUCUCGAGAAGUGUUUUCCGCGUCAGACCGCACACAAGUCUCCUGGAACGGAGCGUCACAGUGGUGAGAACCCAGUACACGGUGCGGAUGCCUGAUGCUUUGUGAUACACUUUCGAAGAGUCGAGUUGUUUGGGAAUGCAGCUCAAAUUGGGUGGUAAAUUCCAUCUAAAGCUAAAUAUUGGCGAGAGACCGAUAGCGAACAAGUACCGUGAGGGAAAGAUGAAAAGCACUUUGGAAAGAGAGUUAACAGUACGUGAAAUUGUUGGAAGGGAAACGCUUGAAGUCAGACUUGCUAUUCGGAGCUUGCUUCGAUUCGCAGGCCCGCAUCAGUUUUCCGGGGCGGAAAAUCGUAAGGAGAAGGUAGCAGUUUCGGCUGUGUUAUAGCUCUUUACUGGAUUCGUCCUGGGGGACUGAGGAACGCAGCGUGCUUUUUGCAUGGGCUUCGGCCCAUCCACGCUAGGAUGCGGGGAC
rnacentral:rRNA from 1 species